GUUCACUCUGGGGGAAGCCAGCUGCCAUGCCGUAAGGACACUCAGGCAGUCCUAUGAAGAGGCCCAUGAGGUGAGAAAGUGAGGCCUCCAGCCAACAGCCAUAGAUGAGGUCUUGCUAUGUUGCCCAGGUUGGAGUGCAGCAGUUACUCACAGGCACGAUCCCACUACUGAUCAGCACGGGAGUUUUCACCUGCUCCAUUUUCCACCUGGGAGGUCAUCAUGUUGUUGGCGAACUUAGUGCGGGCACCUGAUCAGCAUAGCGCAGUACAGCCCAGAACCCCUUGGCUCCAGCGAUCGUCUUACUUCAGCCUCUUGAGUAGCUGGAACUGCAGGCCCACACCACUGCACCCGGGCCUAGGCUAAAGGAGAAGACAUAGCAGCCCAUGGGACAUGUUCGUUUCAUGGAUGAUCACGAUUGCUAAGAAGAUAAGCCAACAUACAGGUUAUGCUAUGGCUGCUAACAACUUCUUUUCCAAAAUGCCAGAAGAAGGCUGUUGCUAUUGUUUUUCUCCGUGCUUAAGGAUUUUUGUCCUUUGCAAAAUAAUCUCAGAGUGUAUCAUAGAAGCAACUGAUGCCCCAAUCUAUGCCCCUCAGCCAAAUGUGUGGAUUCAUUGCAGUUGCGCGACACAUCCGUGUCUUUCUACCUCAACCAUCCAUGCCUCUCUGCCUGUGGGGCUUUCUUGGCACUAGAGGAGUUUGCUCUGCCUGUAUGCAGGGCAGCCUAGAAGUGUAAUGGGUUUAAUUUCCCCAGCAGCAAUUUUCAACCAGUGAGAAACUGGAACUGGUGCAAAAACAGUCCAGCUUCCCUAUCCCUCUUUGGGCCACACUCCCAGAAAGCUUGAGAUAGCAGUAACCUGCUCCCUUGUGCACACCUUUCAUUGGCUGUCUUCCCUUUUCUACUUCACUCCUCACUCCCUUGUUGCACUUCCUGGGAUCACCUCUCAAACUACCUGGGGCAUUGUGACAAGCAUCUGUAGUCCCAGCUACACAGGAGGUUGAGGUGAGAGGAUCACUUGAACCCAGGAGUUCUAGUCCAGCCUGGGCAACAUAGCAAGACUCCUGUCUCUUAAAAAAUAAAAUAAAAUACAUGUAUCUACAUCCUUUUCUCAGGAUUGGCUUUUGGAGGAGCCUAAAGUAAGACUGUAAGCAGGAAACGCUGAGAGCUCUCCCUAAAAUGCACAAAACUCAGAGAAGCUAAAGCAAUAAAGCAACUUAAUUUA